UUGUUGCCUCGGCGGAUCAGCCCGCUCCCGGUAAAACGGGACGGCCCGCCAGAGGACCCUUAAACUCUGUUUCUAUAUGUAACUUCUGAGUAAAACCAUAAAUAAAUCAAAACUUUCAACAACGGAUCUCUUGGUUCUGGCAUCGAUGAAGAACGCAGCAAAAUGCGAUAAGUAAUGUGAAUUGCAGAAUUCAGUGAAUCAUCGAAUCUUUGAACGCACAUUGCGCCCGCCAGUAUUCUGGCGGGCAUGCCUGUUCGAGCGUCAUUUCAACCCUCAAGCCCAGCUUGGUGUUGGGACUCGCGAGUUAAAUCGCGUUCCCCAAAUUGAUUGGCGGUCACGUCGAGCUUCCAUAGCGUAGUAGUAAAACCCUCGUUACUGGUAAUCGUCGCGGCCACGCCGUUAAACCCCAACUUCUGAAUGUUGACCUCGGAUCAGGUAGGAAUACCCGCUG
rnacentral:rRNA from 1 species